UGAGGAAUAUUGGUCAAUGGACGCAAGUCUGAACCAGCCAAGUAGCGUGCAGGAUGACGGCCCUAUGGGUUGUAAACUGCUUUUAUAUGGGGAUAAAGUGGGGAACGUGUUCCCUUUUGCAGGUACCAUAUGAAUAGGGACCGGCUAAUUCCGUGCCAGCAGCCGCGGUAAUACGGAAGGUUCGGGCGUUAUCCGGAUUUAUUGGGUUUAAAGGGAGCGUAGGCCGUUUGGUAAGCGUGUUGUGAAAUGUAGGAGCUCAACUUCUAGAUUGCAGCGCGAACUGUCAGACUUGAGUGCGCACAACGUAGGCGGAAUUCAUGGUGUAGCGGUGAAAUGCUUAGAUAUCAUGAAGAACUCCGAUUGCGAAGGCAGCUUACGGGAGCGCAACUGACGCUGAAGCUCGAAGGUGCGGGUAUCGAACAGG
rnacentral:rRNA from 1 species